rnacentral:rRNA from 1 species
GACGAACGCUGGCGGCGUGCUUAACACAUGCAAGUCGAACGGACCCUUUGGGGUUAGUGGCGAACGGGUGAGUAACACGUGGGUGAUCUGCCCUGCACUUUGGGAUAAGCCUGGGAAACUGGGUCUAAUACCGGAUAGGACUACGCACUGCAUGGUGUGUGGUGGAAAGCUUUUGCGGUGUGGGAUGGGCCCGCGGCCUAUCAGCUUGUUGGUGGGGUGAUGGCCUACCAAGGCGACGACGGGUAGCCGGCCUGAGAGGGUGACCGGCCACACUGGGACUGAGAUACGGCCCAGACUCCUACGGGAGGCAGCAGUGGGGAAUAUUGCACAAUGGGCGCAAGCCUGAUGCAGCGACGCCGCGUGAGGGAUGACGGCCUUCGGGUUGUAAACCUCUUUCGCCGGGGACGAAGCGCAAGUGGCGGUACCUGGAGAAGAAGGACCGGCCAACUACGUGCCAGCAGCCGCGGUAAUACGUAGGGUCCGAGCGUUGUCCGGAAUUACUGGGCGUAAAGAGCUCGUAGGUGGUUUGUCGCGUUGUUCGUGAAAACUCACAGCUUAACUGUGGGCGUGCGGGCGAUACGGGCAGACUGGAGUACUGCAGGGGAGACUGGAAUUCCUGGUGUAGCGGUGGAAUGCGCAGAUAUCAGGAGGAACACCGGUGGCGAAGGCGGGUCUCUGGGCAGUAACUGACGCUGAGGAGCGAAAGCGUGGGGAGCGAACAGGAUUAGAUACCCUGGUAGUCCACGCCGUAAACGGUGGGUACUAGGUGUGGGUUUCCUUCCUUGGGAUCCGUGCCGUAGCUAACGCAUUAAGUACCCCGCCUGGGGAGUACGGCCGCAAGGCUAAAACUCAAAGGAAUUGACGGGGGCCCGCACAAGCGGCGGAGCAUGUGGAUUAAUUCGAUGCAACGCGAAGAACCUUACCUGGGUUUGACAUGCACAGGACGCCGGCAGAGAUGUCGGUUCCCUUGCGGCCUGUGUGCAGGUGGUGCAUGGCUGUCGUCAGCUCGUGUCGUGAGAUGUUGGGUUAAGUCCCGCAACGAGCGCAACCCUUGUCUCAUGUUGCCAGCACGUUAUGGUGGGGACUCGUGAGAGACUGCCGGGGUCAACUCGGAGGAAGGUGGGGAUGACGUCAAGUCAUCAUGCCCCUUAUGUCCAGGGCUUCACACAUGCUACAAUGGCCGGUACAAAGGGCUGCGAUGCCGUGAGGUGGAGCGAAUCCUUUCAAAGCCGGUCUCAGUUCGGAUCGGGGUCUGCAACUCGACCCCGUGAAGUCGGAGUCGCUAGUAAUCGCAGAUCGGCAACGCUGCGGUGAAUACGUUCCCGGGCCU